rnacentral:tRNA from 1 species
GCCCCUAUAGCUCAGCAGGUAGAGCAACUGAUUUGUAAUCAGAAGGUCGGCGGUUCGAUUCCGUCUGGGGGCACCA